AUGAUAAGAAAGGGUGUCCCCCCUGCUACCAAUGAAGGAGAUUCAUCUAAAGAAGAGGAAGAUGUUCAUCAAGGAAGAAGGAGAGGUAAUCUUGGAGCAAGACCGCCACGACAACAUGUUGUUCAACGUGCUUCAAGAAGGCCAAUUUAUGUUGAGGCUUCUGAAGGUGAAGAAUAUGAUGAUGCCCUUGAAGAGCCAAAUCUCUACGCAUAUCGGAGAGCACCCAACCCUACAUAUGCAAGAGAUACAUACAAGGUGAAAGCUGAGAUCCCAUGUUUUAAUGGAAAUGUUGACAUUGAAGGGUGCCUGGAUUGGUUAUAUGAAGUGGAGACUUUCUUUGAGGUCAUGGAGGUUCCGGAAGAUCGUAGAGUUCCUUUGGUCGCAUACAAACUGAAAGGAGGAGCCGGUGCAUGGUGGCAUCGCGUUCAAGAGGAGCGCAGGCUGAGAGGAGAACCUCGUGUUAGAACUUGGCGACAAAUGAAAGGCCUCUUGAAAGGGACAUUUUUGCCCGCCGAUUAUGACCAGAUCCUAUUUAUCCAAUUUCAAAAUUGUGCUCAAGGAAAUAGGACUGUUUCAGAUUACACGGAGGAGUUUCUAAGGCUACAAGUGAGGUGCAACCUUGCUGAAACUGAAGAGCAACAAGUUGCAAGGUACAUCAAUGGUCUCAAUGAUGCUAUUCAAGAUCGAUUGAUGAUGCAACAAAUCUGGUCCAUUGAUCAAGCACAAGCUCUAGCCUUAAAGGCCGAGAGGUUUGUGAGGAUGAGAAAGACAACUAAGGCUCCAUAUCCUCCAUAUCCUCAUACCGAAGGCUCAUCUAGGAUCCAACCUAAUAGAGUGGAAGAAAAGACCACUCCACCAAAGACAAAACAACCCAUCCCGAAGCAAACUAGAGGCAAGGGUAAGGCAAAUGAAGGCCCAAAGUGCUAUAAAUGUGGUAAAGAGGGACACAUAUCCAGCGGCUACCCACUAAGGAAAUUUGUUAACACGACUAUCCAUGAUGGUGAAAGCGAUGAGGAAUAA
rnacentral:rRNA from 1 species